CACACACACUUUCUUGUUUCUCCUGUAUACACCAGACCUGUCUUCCAGAAUCCUUGUAUAUGUCACUUUAAUAUUUAGACACAAUCAAUAACAUAACAACGGAACAUGAGUCAUUGUUACCCCGCUUCACCGCCCCAGACAAAUCAUAUACUUCUUUUAUGAGCUAGUCAAUCCUCAAUCUUAAAAAUCCAGAACCAUUUGCUUUCAUUUGCACAUACAGAAGGUAAACUCUAGGACUGCAGUAUCCGCUCUAACAUCUGCAUCGCUGGAAGUAACAUCAACGUAAAACUGACAUUGACCACGGUACUAGAGACUGUACAAAUCACAAUUUUUAUUCGACAAUUGAUUUCGCAGCAGGGAUGGUUUUAACUCCUCCGAGUAAAGGCACAAAGCCAGAAUAAAAAUGAUCACUACCAAAAAAAAAAAAAAAAAGUUGUAUAUUCCCACCCUCCUCGUUUCCCCCCCCCCCUACACUCAUGAAUCGGUGGAGAAGGAGGGAACAAAAUAAAAGGUGUUUAAAAAAAAAAGCAUCUUCUCAUAAGCUGCCAAGUCUGCCUUCCCAAUUAUUCAUGAAGUCAAUGGUAGCCAUUUUCAUUUAAGGUACAGAAAAAGGAAGAGAGGGGGAAAAAAGGUCAUGAGAAAACCCCCAAAACACAAAAUGAGCCGUAGGUAGAGAACCGAAUCCACAUUCAUCCAGUGGUUAUUCUACAGUCAAUUCAUUUCGAAUGGCUGCGCUGCACUGAGCUUUUGGGGGGAGUGGGGGGGGGGAUAAUCAAUCCGUGCUGUGCCCAGUCCUCCACCAGCCGCUGCUGCUGUUGAUGCAGAGGUUAGCAGCUGCAUCGCGGUGGUGUUGUGAUGAUUUUUUUUUUUUUGCCGCAGUCUACGUCCAUCGUAUAAACCAACACGCAUUGAGAUGAAUAAUGGAAGUACAGUACUGAAGACAGCCAAGCUGAUUUAUCACAGCGAAUCAUUCACUGCUCCAGCCCCAGCUCUCAAUUAUGCCACUUUAAAUCACGCGCACACACACAGAAAGAGAGAGAGAGAGAUAAGCUAUUUGUGGCCAGAUCUAGUGAAAGAGAAAGAAAAAAAAAUCCGGAUUGUUGAACAGAGGGAAGUGGGAAAUAAAAGACAAAAGGGAUCUUUCCCCCCAGCGUGGACAAGCGCUCUGUAAUGCAGCUUGGAAGAAAAUAAAGUCUGAACAAAACUAGACGGUGAGACAAGCACGUAGGAGAGGGUGAAACUGACGUUAACGCAGACUCUAUGGGAAUCUGGUCACUGGGAAGCAAAACCCUCUCUCCUUUGCUCGCUCUCACACAAUUUUUAAAAGAAACGCACUAGAACUGAGUUGCGACGAAACUUGGCUUUAAAGGUAUUCACACGCUGGACACGCUUCAGUAGAGGUUUCUUUGGAGAACGUAUGGUGGGGAAGAGAGACCAGGGAGGCAUCUGCACGUAAGAGAGGCGAAAGGCAGCCUUGCUUUAUAAUCUCUUAUGCCAAGAAUUAAUUGCUAAACUUUCUUUAAAGGGUCUUGGGUUGUGGUCAAAAUGCACUAGAAGGCUCCCGAAAGACCUAUAUGUAUAUCUAUGGUAUCUUUCAGGGGGGACACACACUCACCCUCUCUCUCUAUAUAUAUAUGUAUUAUGGCUCCCAAUGAAUUUUACAGUAGAGACGGAUACUUGUCAAAUGUAUAUAUUUUUAGUCGGCAUUCAUAGAUGCAUUUAAAAUAGAGCGAGGUGCCUCUAUUAAGAGCUGUUGAGUCAUUCUGCAAAUCCUGCCAGCACGGUUUUGCACAACAUUUAUAUUAUGUCUGUUACUAUUCUUGUUUUUAUUAACUGGCUGUAAAUCCCUGCAAUUAACACAAAGCCCUUCAGGUAACGUCCAGACGGUAAAUGGGAAUCGAUAAAAGCAAGGACAUUCGUAAUCAGCACUUCCGUCUUGUCACCUGCCCUCUGGUGACGAGGUAUUACAGUGAUCGGAGUCGGUGUGAAACGGAACACAGCACAGGUGCUACACUCCUAUCAACGUACGGCUGUGCAAACUACUACCCCGCACCACUCCGGAGGGACUGGAAAAGUGCUGCAUAGUGACUCCUUAUCACAAUGCACAGGGCCUGAUCCUGAAGCCAAACUUCAGAGAAGUCAAAGGGAGUUUUACCGAAGUAGACAGCAAGAUGAGGAUCGACAGGCAGCGAUCGAUCCAGUGGGGGUCAAUUUAUCAUGUCUAGUCUAGACACGAUAAAUCAACUGCUGAGCGCUCUCCCGUCGACUCCGGUACUCCACCGGAGCGAGAGGCACAGGAGGAGUUGAUGGGGAAGUGUCAGCUGCCGAUUCACUGCAGUGAAGACACCGCGUUCAUCUGUGAAGGAUUGUCCACCUGGUGCCUUAUCACAGGCUCUGGAAUGAGGCCAGGAGAUGGCAACAAUAUGAACUGCUACAGGGGAUAACAAGGACUCUGUUAUGACUGGGAACGUUUGCAGUACUAUAAAUAACUCUAUCAAUAUUGUGAUAAUGGCACUUUAAAGAGGUCUAUUUUACAAGUGUUGAAUGUAAGAGAGACGGCAGCUGUGCUCAUUAAUUCUGAAGUAUGCUCCUCUCCAUGUACAAU